AGCUCUUGCUCUUGCUCCUGCUCCUUCGCCUGCUUGCUGCGUGAGACUGAGUAACUGCUAGAUCCUUGGACUUCCAUUCACAGCUGUGACUGAACGAUUGUUGGGAAUUGAGCUGCCGACUGUAAGUCAUCAAUAAAUUCCUUUAUUAUCUAGAGACUAUCCAUAAGUUCUGUGACUCUAGAGAACCCUGACUAAUACAAUGGGUUAACACAGGAAUUAAGUAUUUAGAAACUUUUUAGAACUGAAUGAAAAUGAAUACACAACCCAUGCAAACUCACAGACCAAGUGAAGGAGGUUUUAAGAGGCAAGUUCAUAGCUGAAGUGCACAUAUUACAAAAAAGAAAAAAAGAAAAAACUGGAGAAAUUUCAUAUUACUCACUUAACAGCACAUCUAAAGACUCUAGAUCAAAAAGAAAAGUGAUACCCCAAAGUAAGAAGAUGGCAAGAAAUAAUCAAGUUCAAGGCUGGGAAGGCCACAGAUAGUCACCUGACCCUCUGGAAAAUCCCAGAAUGAUAAAGGGAAAUGGUGGUGAACAGGACAAGGAGCAGCCUCAGCUUGGAGAAGGGUUCUAAGAGAGAACGUGUCUGGAAGCAGCGAAAAGAAGGACUUCAAGUCAAACCGUGCAUUCAAGCUGACGACCUGUGUACUGCUUGAUCCAGCUUUUCCAGUCUGCGUCCCUGUCUGUUCUGCUUUCUCUCUGGAGAUCUCUGUCUAAAUUCUGCUUGCUUGCUAUUCUAACAGAUCUCUCUGUCCACGUCCUGCUUGCUUGUGUGUGUGGCCAAUCUCAAAGCAGUUUUCUCUUUUUAUCCUUAAAAAAAAAAAUUGUCUGGAAAGCUCAGCUCCU
rnacentral:lncRNA from 1 species